UAGGAAGUAGUAUAGGGGGAGUACGAAGAGUUUUGGUCUCUUUGGUGUGGGUUCGAAUCCCAUUUUUCUAG
rnacentral:tRNA from 1 species